UACGAAGGGGGCUAGCGUUGCUCGGAAUUACUGGGCGUAAAGCGCACGUAGGCGGCUUGUUAAGUCAGGGGUGAAAUCCUGGAGCUCAACUCCAGAACUGCCUUUGAUACUGGCGAGCUUGAGUUCGGGAGAGGUGAGUGGAACUGCGAGUGUAGAGGUGAAAUUCGUAGAUAUUCGCAAGAACACCAGUGGCGAAGGCGGCUCACUGGCCCGAUACUGACGCUGAGGUGCGAAAGCGUGGGGAGCAAACAGG
rnacentral:rRNA from 1 species